GGAGGAUUAGCUCAGUUGGUUGGAGCACCUGCCUUACAAGCAGGGGGCCAUAGGUUCGAGUCCUAUAUCCUCCACCA
rnacentral:tRNA from 1 species